rnacentral:lncRNA from 1 species
UGCGAGGCUCAAAAAGGUCAAAACGGUGCUAUGCGUUAAGAGGAUCCCAAACACACCGAAAUGUGCGAAUUGAAAAAUAGUUAUCGAAAAGUUCUGAAAUGCUCUAAAAAGUAUCAAAAUGCAUGAGUUUACUAAAAUGAGAAAAAUAUUAUCAAAGCAUUUCACUAUGUCACUAAAUACGCAAUUAUACCUAAACUUACAAAAUGACUGAACUGCACCAAACUCCACAAACAUCAAACGAAUUGUACUAACCCUCUGAAAUAUAUAAAAUUGACCCCAAAAUGCCCCGAAAUGUUAAAAAAUGCUAAAUAUUGACGCUAAAGGAUGGCCCAAAGUGUUCCGAAGCAUGUGAAUCGAAUUUUAUCUCUCUGAAAUAUUUUCAAAUGUGUGAAUACUGGAUCGUAUCUGAACAUUACGAAAUACAAGAUUUGUGUCAAAACAAUCUAAAGACUGUAGCUCUCCUAGAUAUUACCGAAAUGUGCGAAAUGGAUAAAUAUGUAUCGAGACCUGCAUAUAUGCUCUAAAGAUUAUCAAAGUGCACGAGUUAUAUCGAAAUGUUCAAAAAUUUAACAAAGCGACUCAAAUAUCCCAGAAUAUGCCACAUCUACCUAAACUUGCAAAAUGAGUGAUAUAUGCCAAAACCCACAAAUAUGAAACAAAGUUGCACCAAAACAAAACUCGCAAAAAUGUAUCAAGAUAGGCUAAUCAUAGCUAAAACCUCCGAAAUGUAUAAAGUUGAGUUAGGAUGCCCCAAAUCGAAUCGUAGCGCUCCGAGAUAUUUCCAGAUGUGUAUUUCCAAACAUGAAACCGAAUUCCAAAAAAACAUGAUGAGACUCACCAAAAUGUAUCAAGAUAGGUAAAACACAGCUAAAUCCAUUGAAAUAUAUAAAAUUGAGCAUAAAUGCCAUCAAAAUGAUCCAAAAUAUGCUAUGUUGACAUUGAAGAAUGGCCCAAAGUGUCCCAAAAUACGACAAACGAAUCUUAGUG